rnacentral:rRNA from 1 species
AACGAACGCUGGCGGCAGGCUUAACACAUGCAAGUCGAACGCGUGCAGCAAUGCACGAGUGGCGCACGGGUGAGUAACGAGUGGAUAUCUGCCUUUUGGUUCGGAAUAACCCCGGGAAACUGGGGCUAAUACCGGAUGGUUCCUACGGGAUAAAGAUUUAUCGCCAAAAGAUGAGUCCGCGUCCGAUUAACUAGUUGGUGAGGUAAUGGCUCACCAAGGCGACGAUCGGUAGCUGGUCUGAGAGGACGAUCAGCCACACUGGGACUGAGACACGGCCCAGACUCCUACGGGAGGCAGCAGUGGGGAAUAUUGGACAAUGGGGGCAACCCUGAUCCAGCCAUGCCGCGUGAGUGAUGAAGGCCUUCGGGUUGUAAAGCUCUUUUGGCGGGGACGAUGAUGACGGUACCCGCAGAAUAAGCCCCGGCUAACUUCGUG